rnacentral:rRNA from 1 species
GUGGGGAAUAUUGGGCAAUGGGCGCAAGCCUGACCCAGCAACGCCGCGUGAAGGAAGAAGGCUUUCGGGUUGUAAACUUCUUUUCUCAGGGACGAAGAAAGUGACGGUACCUGAGGAAUAAGCCACGGCUAACUACGUGCCAGCAGCCGCGGUAAUACGUAGGUGGCAAGCGUUAUCCGGAUUUACUGGGUGUAAAGGGCGUGUAGGCGGGACUGCAAGUCAGAUGUGAAAACCACGGGCUCAACCUGUGGCCUGCAUUUGAAACUGUAGUUCUUGAGUACUGGAGAGGCAGACGGAAUUCCUAGUGUAGCGGUGAAAUGCGUAGAUAUUAGGAGGAACACCAGUGGCGAAGGCGGUCUGCUGGACAGCAACUGACGCUGAGGCGCGAAAGCGUGGGGAGCAAACAGG